UGAAUCUCCUUCGGGAGUGAAGCUAGCGGCGGACGGGUGAGUAACACGUGGGCAACCUGCCUCAUAGAGGGGAAUAGCCUUCCGAAAGGAAGAUUAAUACCGCAUAAGAUUGUAGCUUCGCAUGAAGUAGCAAUUAAAGGAGCAAUCCGCUAUGAGAUGGGCCCGCGGCGCAUUAGCUAGUUGGUGAGGUAACGGCUCACCAAGGCGACGAUGCGUAGCCGACCUGAGAGGGUGAUCGGCCACAUUGGGACUGAGACACGGCCCAGACUCCUACGGGAGGCAGCAGUGGGGAAUAUUGCACAAUGGGGGAAACCCUGAUGCAGCAACGCCGCGUGAGUGAUGACGGCCUUCGGGUUGUAAAGCUCUGUCUUCAGGGACGAUAAUGACGGUACCUGAGGAGGAAGCCACGGCUAACUACGUGCCAGCAGCCGCGGUAAUACGUAGGUGGCGAGCGUUGUCCGGAUUUACUGGGCGUAAAGGGAGCGUAGGCGGACUUUUAAGUGAGAUGUGAAAUACCCGGGCUCAACUUGGGUGCUGCAUUUCAAACUGGAAGUCUAGAGUGCAGGAGAGGAGAAUGGAAUUCCUAGUGUAGCGGUGAAAUGCGUAGAGAUUAGGAAGAACACCAGUGGCGAAGGCGAUUCUCUGGACUGUAACUGACGCUGAGGCUCGAAAGCGUGGGGAGCAAA
rnacentral:rRNA from 1 species